UAAGGAAUAUUGGUCAAUGGACGGAAGUCUGAACCAGCCAUGCCGCGUGCAGGAAGACGGCCCUACGGGUUGUAAACUGCUUUUGUACGGGAAUAAACCUUCGGUCGUGACCGAAGCUGAAUGUACUGUAAGAAUAAGGAUCGGCUAACUCCGUGCCAGCAGCCGCGGUAAUACGGAGGAUCCAAGCGUUAUCCGGAUUUAUUGGGUUUAAAGGGUGCGUAGGCGGCCUAUUAAGUCAGGGGUGAAAGACGGUAGCUUAACUAUCGCAGUGCCUUUGAUACUGAUGGGCUUGAAUGUACUAGAGGUAGGCGGAAUGUGACAAGUAGCGGUGAAAUGCAUAGAUAUGUCACAGAACACCAAUUGCGAAGGCAGCUUACUAUGGUAUGAUUGACGCUGAGGCACGAAAGCGUGGGGAUCAAAC
rnacentral:rRNA from 1 species